rnacentral:misc_RNA from 1 species
CAGUGGACGGCUAGAUGUGGGACCCAGUCGAAGGAUAUGGUUCCUUGUAGGGAUGAACGUUGACUUGAAUUUUACAUUCAUGUCACUCGACAACUUGACACGUGAUAUAUGGAAAUACGGUAACGAAAGUUCGGAUGAUGGACUGGGCCCUAAGAGGGGUCCACUUAGCACCGUCAUACCGAUGACUGUUGUUUAUGCUGUAAUUCUUGUUACCGGAACGACUGGAAAUGUGUGUACCUGUAUAGUGAUAGCUCGAAACAAAUAUAUGCAUACGGCAACUAAUUAUUAUCUGUUCAGUUUGGCCAUAUCGGAUUUACUCCUUUUAGUCUUGGGAUUGCCUCAAGAAUUAUAUGAAUUAUGGGUAAGAUAUCCUUAUAUUUUUGGUGAGAGCGUUUGUGUCAUACGUGGUUUGACUUCGGAAACUUCAACAAAUGCAUCAAUUUUGACUAUAACGGCCUUUACUGUCGAAAGAUACGUUGCUAUCUGUCACCCUUUGAGAGCCCAUACCAUGUCCCAUCUACCUAGGGCUAUUCGAACGAUACUAGCUAUCUGGAUGAUAGCGGCUGUAUUCGCUAUGCCCCUAGCUUUACAGUUUGGUAUUGUUUACGGAGAAACAGAAGAGGGUAAAAUAAUUUGGGAGUCAGCCGUCUGUAAUGUCAAAAGACCUUUACCACACGCCUUCGAAAUAUCAACUUUUCUAUUCUUUGUCCUUCCCAUCAGCGUUAUUUCCAUACUGUAUGUAUUUAUAGGACUAAGACUUAGAAUGUCGGGUCCUGGAAGAAGGAAAUGUUCACCAGAAACAACAAAUGGACCAGGACCAGGAAGACAAAAUCUUUCAUCGAGAAGAGCUGUCGUAAAAAUGUUAGUUGCUGUAGUAAUUUCUUUUUUCAUCUGUUGGUCACCAUUUCAUGCCCAACGUCUUCUGGCAAUUUAUGUCACAAAUCCAACUCCACUUGCAGUGACAACAUACACCAUCCUCACAUAUAUUUCUGGUGUGACCUAUUAUCUGAGUUCUACCAUCAAUCCUAUUCUAUAUCAAUUGCUGUCACUGAAAUUCCGCCAAGCCUUCAAAGAUACUUUUGGAUCGUGCUGCUUUUCUGAAAAAAACAGUAAUAUACCCGAAUUGACGUAUACAAGCACUUGUGGAAAUCAUAUUGAUUGUUCUGUUAAAUCGAGCAGACAUCGUCUCAGUUCCAGUUUCCAACAACUACCAUCAUUUUCGACUCAUAUUCAAUCGUCGAAUCUUCAGAAUGAAAAGAAAAACUUGUCAGCAUCUUGUGCCAAUGUUUGUAUCCAGGAGAAUGUACCCGAAAAAGUGUCUCUUUUAGGAACUCAUCUUACAGUUUCGAAUGUGUAAAAUCAACUCAGGACUAUUUUCUGGCCUUUCUUCAAUGUGUCUCUUCUAUAUUUACAUUUCGGAUUUAAUCAAG